rnacentral:rRNA from 1 species
AGAGUUUGAUCCUGGCUCAGGAUGAACGCUAGCGGCAGGCUUAACACAUGCAAGUCGAGGGGUAGAGGUUGCUUGCAACCUUGAGACCGGCGCACGGGUGCGUAACGCGUAUGCAACCUACCUUUUACAGAGGGAUAGCCCAGAGAAAUUUGGAUUAAUACCUCAUAGUAUAUAUCUUUCGCAUGUUAGGUAUAUUAAAGUUCCAACGGUAAAAGAUGGGCAUGCGUCCUAUUAGCUAGAUGGUAAGGUAACGGCUUACCAUGGCUACGAUAGGUAGGGGUCCUGAGAGGGAGAUCCCCCACACUGGUACUGAGACACGGACCAGACUCCUACGGGAGGCAGCAGUGAGGAAUAUUGGACAAUGGGCGCAAGCCUGAUCCAGCCAUGCCGCGUGCAGGAAGAAGCAUCUAUGGUGUGUAAACUGCUUUUGUACAGGAAGAAACAUCCCGACGUGUCGGGACUUGACGGUACUGUAAGAAUAAGGAUCGGCUAACUCCGUGCCAGCAGCCGCGGUAAUACGGAGGAUCCAAGCGUUAUCCGGAAUCAUUGGGUUUAAAGGGUCCGUAGGCGGUUUGGUAAGUCAGUGGUGAAAGCCCGCAGCUCAACUGUGGAACGGCCAUUGAUACUGCCAGACUUGAAUUACAAGGAAGUAACUAGAAUAUGUAGUGUAGCGGUGAAAUGCUUAGAUAUUACAUGGGAUACCAAUUGCGAAGGCAGGUUACUACUUGUGGAUUGACGCUGAUGGACGAAAGCGUGGGGAGCGAACAGGAUUAGAUACCCUGGUAGUCCAA